CUCCUAAUAUAAGCCCCCAACUGAAAUUACCAAAACACCCCUCAAAAUCAGCAUUCUAUAGAGCUAAAUAUCGGUACUGGGUUCACGUACCGGUACUCAAACAUCCAGUACCGGUACUCAGACAUCCGUUGGAUUCUUAAUUUUCUACUGCAUACCAGUACUCAAUUUUCAGUACCGAUACCCAAAACAAAUUCAAUGCUGGUACUCAGGUUUGAUUGCUCAAAACCCGAGAACUCAUUUUCCUAAUUUUGUAUUGCAUACCGGUACCCAGUUUUCAGUAUCGGUACUCAAUACAAAUUCU
rnacentral:lncRNA from 1 species